rnacentral:lncRNA from 1 species
AGCAGAAGCAGCAGCAGUGUGUGUGUGUGGCGAGGAUGGUGGUGGUGGUGUGGUGUGGUGAAGCUCUCUGUGACGCCCUCGCCUCACACGUUAUAAACAGUAGUCCCGUGUGGUAGUGUUUAUGUGACUCGGCUGUACUAGCACUUUACAGGUCAACCGGAAGUCGCCCACGUCAACUAGGACCAUCUCCCCCCCCCGCCCACCACGACGCCCACCUCAAUUGGGUUUUACCGCCGCCGCCCAUCACCGACGCCCAUGCUAGCCCCUGUGACUCUGCUCCCUUCGGCUGCUACUCCCACAUGUUGAAUUGGUUAGCCAGCAGAUGGGUCCAGCCGUGAGAGGUGCGGGAUGCGGCUGGUGCGUCGGCGUGGGCUGGCGUGGCGGGAGGCGGCGGUGAAGGCUGCCGCCGCUAAGGCUCGCCCGCCCAAGCAGCCAGACCGCUGGGCUCAACUCCUAGAGCAGCUCAAGAACCCCGCCCCCUGUGACCACCCCUCGUGUAGAGGCGGCCACCAGCCCGGGGAGGACCACAACAUACCUACCAUACGCAGGGAGUCCCGGGCGAUGGUGGUGCAGAGACAAGCCAAGCAGGAAGAGGAGUUCCAGGGGUUCACGACUCGCCUGCUGGUGGUGUUGGCGCUGCUGCUGGCUGGUCUCACCGCCUUGGUGCUGUACACGCUCUUCUCCUCCCCAACUCUCCUCUCCCAGCAGCCCUCGACGCCCCAAGACUCCUAGCCAGACAGGAGGGCUCCCACCACCACCCGCCCUGACGCGUGAUGGCAGUCUCAUCCAGUGAACGAACGAGCCGCAUUGAAGAAAACGGAGACGAAGACGCAAUAAACCCAUGAAGAAAAAUGAAGGAAGAAUCAACAAGUGGGAGAAGACAUGAGAUAAACACAAUGAAAAAGAGGCGUUAGAAAAGAAGAAGGCAAAGAUGUGAAGCGAGGAGAGGAAAACACGAAACGGCUGAACUAAUGCGGGAGGAAUUGAGAGGUGGUGGGAGGGUGGUGAAGCGAAGAGGAACAGGGAGCCAACAACAGGUGGUAAUGUAGGAUCAGUCAGGCAACAGGUGGUGACGUAGGAUCAGUCAGGCAACAGGUGGUGACGUAGGAUCAGUCAGGCAACAGGUGGUGACGUAGGAUCAGUCAGGCAACAGGUGGUGACGUAGGAUCAGUCAGGCAACAGGUGGUGACGUAGGAUCAGUCAGGCAACAGGUGGUGACGUAGGAUCAGUCAGGCAACAGGUGGUGACGUAGGAACAGUCAGGCAACAGGUGGUGACGUAGGAACAGUCAGGCAACAGGUGGUGACGUAGGAACAGUCAGGCAACAGGUGGUGACGUAGGAACAGUCAGGCAACAGGUGGUGACGUAGGAUCAGUCAGGCAACAGGUGGUGACGUAGGAACAGUCAGGCAACAGGUGGUGACGUAGGAUCAGUCAGGCAACAGGUGGUGACGUAGGAUCAGUCAGGCAACAGGUGGUGACGUAGGAUCAGUCAGGCAACAGGUGGUGACGUAGGAUCAGUCAGGCAACAGGUGGUGACGUAGGAUUAGUCAACAGGAUCAAGGGUGGUACAUGUUAACGCGCUAAACUCCCACCAAUAUGUCAGGUGAGAAGGGUGUUAUCCAGUGUGACACUCACUACCAAACACCACGGGUUUCCCUGUCCCCGGUUACCUCCUGUACUAACACUGGAUACACCGCCCAAACGGCUGAUGACUGGCUAAUAUGAAUCAACAGAAUCAGUCACACCUCUCCUUGACCAAUGGAUCGAUCCUCAUUAUAAAUGGUCUUCCCUUGAAAAAUUUAUAUAUAUAUAUAUAUAUAUAUAUAUAUAUAUAUAUAUAUAUAUAUAUAUAUAUAUAUAUAUAUAUAUAUAUUCCUACGUGUCUUUUCUGUGUGUACAUAUUGUUGUAAUUAAAGAGCAGUCGUGUGCGCAGAAAGAAAAAUAAGUGGUAUAGAUAAGGCAAGCCAACCCAAGUUUAUAAUGGUUAUUUUUUUUAAAUCGUUGUUUUCUGGUUUUCUCUAUACCAUGAAAAAUAUUAUUGUUAUUUAUUUAAUGAUUUUUAUUUAUUUAUUUAUAAGUGUCUUAACUAACUGCUAAAGAAAGUUUAGGUGUUAAACUGUACAUUGUUAUACCUGUCUGUGAUACUUUGUCCUCAGAGCCCUACUCUCCCGCGGGAGUCUCCUCUCUCUUGUAUAUACAAAACUAUAAGUGUGCAAAUCGUCAAUCCCCACCAGGUGUUGACUUCUUACCGAUGCAGUAUUAGGUAGUCAAAUUCAUCAUGUGACGUGUGGACGUUCGCAUAUCACUGAAUAGUAGUGUUGUGGCCCAUAUCGAUGUCUAUACACAGGUUCUGACCUCUGAAUUAUUUGUAGCAGGUGAAAUACAGGCUUAGAUCCUUUACUAGAAGAUUUGUUCAUCUAUCUUUUUUUCAUAGUGUCGAGGAUUCGUUCAUCUAUGUUCCCCAAUGGCAGAGAAAAAUUAACGCACCGUCUAACAUUUUCUGAGAUGACAACCAUGCUGGAUGUUACCUAACCCUGAAUUACAUGUAGGAGGCAACUGGAAAUGUCGGGUAAGGUAGAGGAAAUUUAUGUAUUAACUCUGCAUCUAGGAUUUUUAGACUAACAAGUACUUUAAACUUUUAUUGUGUGUGUGCGGGGGGUAUGUGAGUGUUUGUGUGUGUAUGUGGGUACUUUUGCUGUAUAUGAUGCAAAGUUAUAAUAACGUUAAGUUGAACGUUAUGUAAGGCAGACGUUGAUAAUGACGAACGAGGUGUAUAGGUCGAAGCAAAGAUACAUUUUAUCAAUACAUUACUAGGAUCUAUGCCUGUGAACUUGCUCGUGACUAGCUUUUACUAGGUGUUGUAAUUACCUUUUUUCAUCCUCUCAAUAUACAGUCUAGCGUAAUUUACACUAAUUUCUACGGUGAACUGUAGCCUAAUUGAACCUAAUCAAGAUUAGAGGGCGUGAAGUUCGAAAAAAUAAGUUGAAAACAAAUUAAGGUGUAGAUGUGGUUUAUCAGAUGAAGGUUGUGACGGUAAAUUAUGUCAGAUGAUGUAGUAUUGUGUUGUAGAAUAGAAGAAUGUCCUUUUUUAGCGGUUAACAGUGGCAGAACGUUAGUCAAGCGCUCAAAAAUGGGAGAAUCUCCUAGUCCAACGUUCAACAAUGGGUAUAUGCCCUAACUUUGCCCUUGUUCAGCCUUCAACAAUGGGAGAAUGCCCUUGUCCAACAUUCAAAAAUGGUUAUAUGCGUUCAACAAAUAUAGAAUGAUCUAGUCUACUGUAUCGCACAAUAGGAAAAUGACCUUGUCCAGUGCUCAACGAUAGGAUAACCGUAACUUGGGCAAAUUUAAAAAUAAAAUAGUUUCCAAAGGUUUUGUGGUUAAAGUAUUCUAGAAAAGAAAAUCAGUUUAUGUACAAGGAGUUUCAGUCUCUUGGGGAAAUUACACAUUUAAAACAUAUGUACUGUACACCAUCUUUCACAGAACAUAACUUUAUCCUUGAAAAUUCUGGACUAAUAUUUGCAGGUAUCAUGACUGCCUUUGAUGCGUUCUUAAGACAACUUUGCCCGCGGGUAAGAAAAUGGCCACAGCGGAUAAGGCGAAGAAUGAUUAGGUAUAUACCGACGUGUGAAUGUGUCUUUUCCUCAAUGGGGACACUGUAAACACAGACAUCAAUGGACUUGUAAACAACCUAUAGAUACUGAUGUGCUAGUAUAACAGUGAUCUAGAAUAUCCACGAGCUUACAAUGGCUGUCAUGUCCAGUUGAGAAUCACAGAUGAAAAAACACACUUAGCGUAGUGAUGUAUAGUCUUCAUGGUGGCAUUAACUUGCACAAAAGUUUUAGCGGUGAAUAUUUCUCGGCCGAGUUCCGGUGGUGUGUUCACAGGGGUUAACUAACCCAGUUGAAUUAGAAGUUAAUUCGAUUGGCGACAAAAGACAAAACUCAGGCCUUAUUACGCAUUUCUAACGGAGAACAAUGCACCUGUUAAUCAAGGCGAUGAUUGAAUAUUUCAUGGCUCUACAACUUGUCUCAUUACGCUUCUAUUUAUACCAGACUCCUCAGUGUGAAUAUCUACGGCAUGUUCAUAUGUAAAUGGUAAUUCCUUUAAGGAGUAAAUAUUUUAUGUGUAUAUAUUCACAAUGCAUGUAAUGUCUGUGUCUUCUUCAACAGAUGCCUUCAACUGUAUAUUUGUGUUUAUGUGAUCGUAAUAAUGUGUGUAAAAGGGUUUCAAAAGUGUGAUUAUUCUUAAAAGCGUUGUUAUUUUACCCUGAAUAUAGUAAUUAACAUCUUAGUAGUGUUAGUAGUAGUUGUAGUAUUGAUAUUGGUCGUGUUAUCAGCAAGGAGAUACGGACUUUUUAACAUAGACACUUUAAGCAUCGUCUUUCCACACACACACACACACACACACACACACACACACACACACACACACGCGAUCCUUAAACUUUAUUGUAUCAACUUAAAACCUUUGAUAUCACUCCCCUUGAAUGCAAACCUUUCAAAGUGGAUCUUAUAUGUCUACGGAAGUUUCAUCUAGUAUAAAUCUUAUAUAAUUAUCCUAAGAAAAGAGUUACAAUAUCUGUAUUACUUUGCUCAUUUGAUAUUUGCUUUAUUUUCAUUAUUUGUUUUAAUAUUUGGUUAUUGUGUCUAGUAGUAUUAGCCUAGUAAUAUAAAACUGAAUUCUGUUUUAGGUUAAUUAGAAUACUCUAUUUUAUUUAAUCCUCGGUGCUUUAACAUACAACUUUGAUCAGUGUUUAUAUGCUUACUUAAAGACUCAGUGUUACCAGCUUCUGCCUACAAUACAACAUGAAUGUGCCUAUAUCUACAAGUGUAUCUUGUCAGCCUUUCUUGGUGUGGUAAAAUUUUUUGUAUGUUUCGCAAGUUCUAGUAUAAACUUUUUCUGACUUAUUGUCUAAUAAUCCAUUGUU